ACCGGAUUAGAUACCCUGGUAGUCCACGCCGUAAACGAUGUCGACUUGGAGGCUGUUCCCUUGAGGAGUGGCUUCCGGAGCUAACGCGUUAAGUCGACCGCCUGGGGAGUACGGCCGCAAGGUUAAAACUCAAAUGAAUUGACGGGGGCCCGCACAAGCGGUGGAGCAUGUGGUUUAAUUCGAUGCAACGCGAAGAACCUUACCUGGCCUUGACAUCCAGAGAACUUUCCAGAGAUGGAUUGGUGCCUUCGGGAACUCUGAGACAGGUGCUGCAUGGCUGUCGUCAGCUCGUGUUGUGAAAUGUUGGGUUAAGUCCCGCAACGAGCGCAACCCUUAUCCUUUGUUGCCAGCGAUUCGGUCGGGAACUCAAAGGAGACUGCCGGUGAUAAACCGGAGGAAGGUGGGGAUGACGUCAAGUCAUCAUGGCCCUUACGGCCAGGGCUACACACGUGCUACAAUGGCGCAUACAAAGAGAAGCGACCUCGCGAGAGCAAGCGGACCUCAUAAAGUGCGUCGUAGUCCGGAUCGGAGUCUGCAACUCGACUCCGUGAAGUCGGAAUCGCUAGUAAUCGUGGAUCAGAACGCCACGGUGAAUACGUUCCCGGGCCUUGUACACACCGCCCGUCACACCAUGGGAGUGGGUUGCAAAAGAAGUAGGUAGCUUAACCUUCGGGAGGGCGCUUACCACUUUGUGAUUCAUGACUGGGGUGAAGUCGUAACAAGGUAGC
rnacentral:rRNA from 1 species